rnacentral:rRNA from 1 species
AGAGUUUGAUCCUGGCUCAGGACGAACGCUGGCGGCGUGCUUAACACAUGCAAGUCGAACGGAAAGGCCCUUCGGGGUACUCGAGUGGCGAACGGGUGAGUAACACGUGGGUGAUCUGCCCUGCACUUUGGGAUAAGCCUGGGAAACUGGGUCUAAUACCGAAUAUGACCAUGCGCCUCCUGGUGUGUGGUGGAAAGCUUUUGCGGUGUGGGAUGGGCCCGCGGCCUAUCAGCUUGUUGGUGGGGUAAUGGCCUACCAAGGCGACGACGGGUAGCCGGCCUGAGAGGGUGACCGGCCACACUGGGACUGAGAUACGGCCCAGACUCCUACGGGAGACAGCAGUGGGGAAUAUUGCACAAUGGGCGCAAGCCUGAUGCAGCGACGCCGCGUGAGGGAUGACGGCCUUCGGGUUGUAAACCUCUUUCAGCACAGACGAAGCGCAAGUGACGGUAUGUGCAGAAGAAGGACCGGCCAACUACGUGCCAACAGCCGCGGUAAUACGUAGGGUCCGAGCGUUGUCCGGAAUUACUGGGCGUAAAGAGCUCGUAGGUGGUUUGUCGCGUUGUUCGUGAAAACUCACAGCUUAACUGUGGGCGUGCGGGCGAUACGGGCAGACUUGAGUACUGCAGGGGAGACUGGAAUUCCUGGUGUAGCGGUGGAAUGCGCAGAUAUCAGGAGGAACACCGGUGGCGAAGGCGGGUCUCUGGGCAGUAACUGACGCUGAGGAGCGAAAGCGUGGGGAGCGAACAGGAUUAGAUACCCUGGUAGUCC